CUUUUUCCUUCCUUUCAAUUGACAGUUUGCUCUUAGAAGAUGCAGAAAGGAGGGUUUUUUUUUUUAAAGUUGUGCUACGAUACUUGUCACACGUCAGAUGUGAAAUGCUGGCAUGAAAAGAGUCCUUUCUGCCGUGUUGGAAAGCAUGCCUGCUCAGAGAGCUUCCUUUUUUAAUUUGCAAAGGACAAGGGAGAGGUAGCUGCUUUUCAUAGCCAUAUAGGAUGCUGGGAAGUAUUCUAAGGAAGCCAAGCAUCAGCAGGCUAGAACAGACUAUCAGUAUUUGAGUGAAGCUUAUGAUGGGAUGAUGGAUGCCCCUGUAUCUCUUAGGGUGCAGAGAAGGGAUUUUAGCAGAGGAAGGAAAAUAAUCUCUUGCCGAGAGGAGCUAGAGAGAUGCAUCAGAAAAUCAAUGACAUCUGUUUUGUAGCACGCAGCAAUUUUUCGCAUGGAGAGGAACCUCACCAAAAAUGUGCAUGUCACACGGAUGGGUGCCAGCCACAUCCCCCUGUGCUGACCAGCUGCAGCUCACGCUAUAUCCAGGCGCUGUCUGUAACUUUCUCAAGUUUUGGUCUAUUUAAAACUGUCUUUUCACUCACUCCUCCAUUUCUUGCUGUACUUUUAGACUUUUCUUUGCAGACUUCACAUUAAGAGUCAGCACAAACUCUCAGAGUGAUGAUUUGUGUGAAGAGAAAAAUUUGGAACACUAACAGAUGAUGGGAAGAAGGAAGUCCUUGUGUGCAUCUUUUUUGUUUUUGCUAAUGAUUUUAGGCUCAGGGUUUCCAGGGCUUUUAGUAGAUUUCCAUAGCAAAUAGCAUUAUACACAUUUUCUGUUCACUGUGAUAGAAAGCACAUGAAGUUUCUUAACCAUAAUAGUAGCUUUUCAGGCAAAGUUUAGAAAAGUUAGCAUUUUGGAUUACAGCAGUCAGAAUCUCCCAACCAAGAUCUUUCAUCCCCGUCAAAAGAAUCAGAAACAUCCAUGAAGACUAAGCACAUUAUGGUCCUCAUAAAAAUGUUCUUGCAGGGAUGGUAGUAUAUAGAAGAUAUUUUCCUGAAUGUGAGUCCCUGAAAUCUUUUGUUGUUAUUGUUGUGUUCCUUCUUGUCAAAAUUAUGGUGACCCUGAGGAGAAUCAGUCAUGGGGCAAAAUUUCUUCAGAGAAGGUUUCUGUUUGCUUUUUUCUGAGGCUGGGAAAGUGUGAUUUGUCCAACAUCACCCAGUGGGUUUCCAUGACUGAGCAUGGAUUUGAAACCUGUAUCCUACAGUCCAGGAACCAGUGUGGCUUAACAAUUUGAGAAUUGGGCUAUGACCCUGGAAAAUUGGGUUCAAAUCCACGCUCAACCAUGGAAACCGACUGGGUGACCUUGGACUAUUAACACAGUCCUACGACCGCAUCACACUUACCUCUGAAAGUGACAUACAAUGCGUCCUCCACUCUAGCUGGAGGACGGAGGGAACACGUAGUACCAUGCUUCCCUCUCAACACAGGAGGCUUCCCAUGUUGUAUUGGAUCCAAUGGAGCCAGCACACUUCUGCACUGUCUGGGUCGCUUUGAGGGAGCAGUAUGCGGGGUGAUGGAUUUGGCCCAGCUGCCCUACAUUUUGGUGACGAAGUCAAGUGAAGCGGGAUGCUUCACCUGGCUAUUAUAAAAAUUGGUUAGCCUCAGAAAACCCCACGACCCUAGGAUUGCCAUAGUUCCGAAGUAACUUGAAGACACACACAGCAACAAUCCUAGGCUCCUAAUCCUUAAAAGCAAAACACUAUGUCAUAAUGGCACACUAAUGCUUCUUACUAAUGUGUGGAUGCCACUAGGAGUUUGGCUUCAUAACAAAUGCUACUCAAAGAGCUGUAAAACUGUGGAAAUAGGAAUGUUGCACUCCACAAUUUCAGCCACUUCGUUCUUCUACCACUGCCUCCUGGCCUCCUAUUCCAAUUUUUGGGUUUUGCUUCACAAUUGUUCACUAACAUUUCUUGCCCAAUUGGUCUAUUUUUUGUAAUACUGGACAUUUCACUUUGCAUAUGCUUUUGAUUUUUGAGUGUUUCUAAUAUUGUUAAUACCGGUAUGUACUUUCACCUCGUGAAGGGAUGGUGCCACCCUGGCUAUAAAAGAUUGUCACAACAUGAACAUUAGGAUCACUGUUAGCAGAAUGUGGGAACACUACUUUUUAAAGACUCCAGAAUCCCCAGAAAUUUCCUAAAGAUUGCAAGGGCCAGAAUCCCUCAACUAGCUGACCAGUUGCCAUGUUUUCCGAGAUUAUUCUGAGAGACAGAGUCCAAAACAGUAACUUAUCCCAGCUCUAACUCUUGUUAUGUUUCAUGACAGCCUUAAUUUUAAAAUUGCAAUGUGACUUAGGGAAGUGUUAUCAACCUAUUAUGGAGCAGCCUAUGGGGGAGAAAAAUGAUAGAUAGCUUCCCCAUUUCCCAAGCUAACACCCUUACUGCCGACUCACCCUCCCUUUCACUUGACUCCACCAGCUGUGCUUGUGAUAAAUGAGAACCAACUUAGUCUGCGGGUGGAGUGGGGGAUGAGUGGAAGAACCUAAGAGAAAUAAAUAAAACAAUUCCACAAUGAAGCCAGUCAAACCACUUUUCACUAUAAUUGUUCCCCAGCAGAUUGCAUAUGAAGCAUUGUUUACUGGCCUAUAAAUAGACUGCUGAACACGGUUCUGCACACAGCAAAACUGAAAGGGGAUACAGUAUUAUCAAAGAGCUGUCACAACAGCUCUGAAAUUGAGAGACAUGCAUAAGCAUUACUUCUGAUUAAAUUACAGCUUGCACACCAGCAAUUUGGUGCUUAAAUGGCCCGAUCUAUUUCUCUGCUAUUGCUUGCCUUGUUUCCAUGUGCUUGAGGUUUUGUUCAACAUGUGUGAUUUCCAUUCUGAAAGCACAGGAGAACAGAGUGGAUCUCGCCACCAGAUUUUUGGCUUAAUUGCCUCCUUUCCAAGGCUUGGAAAUAUUACUUUUUUUUGGACUACAUGAAUGCUGGUUGCGGAGAUUCAGGGAAUUAUAGUUCAAAAAGGAACUUAUGCUAACACCAUACCAUGUGCAUUGCUAGCUCUGGAAGAGGUCCAUAAUGGGGUGAAUCCAAGGCAACUCCGGGGCUGAAUGAUCUGACUUUCAACUAGGUUAUUUUGAUGGUAUAGACCACUGCUUCAUAAACUGUGGGUUCCAACCCCAAAUAGGGGGUCAUGAAAGAUUUGGCAACCUAGUGGCUAUUUUAGGCAUUUACACAAAUCUGUUAGCGUGCAGUGUUUACAAUGGACUCUGCAGAAAAUGUACUUCAUAAAAAGGGAGAUUAUCCUGUUUAGCAAGACUUGCAAAUGUUGAUUUAUAAUCAGCAAAUGUUUAAUUUAUAUGCCAAUUUUAUUUUCCUAUAUACCUGAGGUCAUGUAAAAAUGUCUCAGAUGGAAAGGCAUUGAGAAUGGAAAAAGUUUAAGAAGUCCUGGUAUAGAAAGCCCUGGAAACUGAGUUUUGUAAUGUCACAUCAAAGCCUAAAAGAAGGACUUUCAUUGUUAACGGAGUUGGACAUCAUGUGGUGUAUCAAGGCAGCUACAUGGUCUUAUUUCAGACAGAAAACAUCUUGAUGUUCUACCAAGCAAUAUAACUAAGAAGCCGCUUCAAGCCUGCCAGGAGUGCUGCUUCCAGCUGUGUUCUCCAUGUUUGCCAUCCAUUUCUUCAGCCCUUUAUUUUUUUUUAAUAAAAAACAUAUUAAUUUGUCACUCCAAUGUUUCAUGGGGUCUACUGGGAUGAAAUUAGCAGCAGCCUGCACACGAAACAGAGCAUUUUGCACGAGGCAUUAUGAAAGAGAGUGAAGGGGAAGAAGCGAGACAGAGGAAGAUAAAAAAGUUACAAAAAUGUGUCCCAUUUCCUUAACUCCUCUGUGCUAUUAGUUCUCUGCUCCCUCCAUCCCUUUGAUCUAAAUAAAAUAGGGCUACAUUGAAAUGAGCACAGAAAAAAUGUUAAAUCAUAAUUCAAGAUUUGUUUUGUAUAGAUGACAUGUUUUAGCAGAGAUGGGCAGAUCAUACACACCUUCUGACAUUACUCUUCUGGAGUCAGAAGAUUCAGACAAAAUGGAGGAGACAUUGCCUAUAAUCUGGAGCUCCUGAUAACAAUAAUCCUGAAAAUAGACCAAAAAACUGGGGGAUGAGAUUGAAGGGAGUUCUGCCACCCAACUGCAGAUGUUAAAGUCCUAUUACCAUCAUUCAUCGAGUGAUGAAAAGACAAACAGAGAUUGUGUUGUUCCCAGCAAUUGUGAAGUAGUUGACUCUGACCUAAUUAGGCACCUGGUGUUUUAGAAUAGCUGUCUAUAAAUCUCCAACCAUGCCCUGGCAGCUUUGUUACUUUCGAUUCUCUUUUUUUUGGCAACUAGCAGUACUUUUCCAUAUUCAUGUUCUCCUAACCUUGGACCGGCUAUGAUUUAUUACUCUCUUUUACUUCUUGCUGGCUUUGUUUAUCAGGACUAUUAACUUGCUGACCAAUUUCUGGACCAAUUGAUGUCCUCUCUACUGAUUCUCUCUUCAUGCUGGUGGAUACCCUGUGAUGGACCUCAAUUUAAAUAACUCAACAGCUUUUAUCCUCCAACCACCUGGUUUCUGGAUCACUUGCUGACUAGACCAUAGGACAACCCUUCCAUCCCCAGGUUGUAACCAUGCAUGAAAAGGCCAUAGAUGUAACAGCCAGAAUUUAUGCUUCCUAUGUUCAAAUCUAGCAUGAGAUAUAUAGCUUACAAAAACAAUGGACAAGAUGGUGGUCCCAUUCUCACAUAGAAAAGUUAAUUGGAAAAAUAUUAGAAUGUUAGUUCAAUAUUACUGGUGAGGCAGAAUCUUUCCCAUAGCUGAGGACAGUAGAGUAUAUUGAGGAUGGGGAGAGAAGUCCCUAUAUAAGCUGUCCUGGGCUCUGAGAUCAUCUGGAGGAGAGACCCUACUUUCUCUAUCAAAAAAAGUUUUGAUGAGAAAGUAAGUGGAAUCGAUUUUAGACUUUAUGUAUCAGAGCAUUCACUGCCUCUGCAUAAUGUGGAGUAAAAGUGUUAGACCAUGUUUUCCCCACGUUACAAACCAGAAGUCCCUGAAAGUUGUUUGGAAAUCCAGAAGCGAUGUCUGGCCCAAAUCUGGGUUUUGGAUCAGCGUAGACAAGCUCCUUGUCCUUCUGUCAGUAGGAUGAAACCUUAAAUAUUUUGAAAGGCUAUAAAAAGAGAACGUUUUUAAAGAAUGAGUGUCCUGUACAGUUUUGACUGAACUAUUUUAAAGAGAAUUUUUAUCUUCCUAGGUAAAGGUAAAGGUUUCCCCCUGACGUUAAUUCCAGUUGUGACCGACUCUGGGGGUUGGUGCUCAUCUCCAUUUCUAAGCCGAAGAGCCGGCGUUGUCCAUAGACAUCUCCAGGUCAUGUGGCCGGCAUGACUGCAUGGAGCCCCGUUACCUUCCCGCUGGAGAGGUACCUAUUGAUCUACUCAUAUUUGCAUGUUUUCGAACUGCUAGGUUGGCAGAAGCUGGAGCUAACAGCGGGCUCUCCCUCCGCUCCCGGGAUUUGAACCUAGGACCUUUCGGUCUGCAAGUUCAGCAGCUCAGUACUUUAACACACUUCACCACCGGGGCUCCUUUUAUCUUCCUAAUUGCAUUUUAUUCAUUUAACUUCAGGUAGGAAUUGUUUUAAUACUGUGAUUAGUUUAAUUCUAUUGUAAUAUUUGCUUUUCCAACAUCCAGUGCCUGAGACACUCUGCUUGAGGAGAGGGCUGGCCCAGCUUGGCUGACUUUGGGUUCAGCAGCUCUGUGAAGAAGUCCUAGGUGAUGAGGAACUGUGACCCCAUAUUGGUAAUAUGUUUAAGGAGUCUUCAUAUGACUGCCAAAUGUGCAGUCACUGUAUCAGAAAGUGGAACUGUCAUGCCUGUUAUUAUCAGGAGGGCAGCGCUAACAAGCAUGAUCUUGCCCCUUGCCAUUUAUGCUUUCAGAAUUUUUAUUCUGUUGCUCAAAGCGUGGUAGAGCGAGAAUGGGGAAUAAGACCUAUCAAAGCCCCCAUUUGAGCCUUGUCUUCUAGACUAUUUUUCCGAAAACUAUUUUUGUAAAUUUCUGCUCUGUGCUGCUGAAGUGAGCAGCCAUUUCACCUUCUCACCUCAGACAAAAGUAACUGUGAAGAAACCCAGAGGUUGAGAGAAGUUCCUUUUUCAGACUACAACUCCCAGAAUUGAUCUGCUAGCAUAGUCAGUGCAGAAACCUGGGAGUUGAAAUGUUAAACAAGAAUGUUUCUAAGCUCUGCUUAUAUUCUUUGUUCCUUGAUGUCAGAUGAGAUCUGACAGAAUGUGAUGAUGGUUCUUCUAGUAAUUUUUUAUUUGACAACAGCUGUCUUUGACCCAGUGCUCUCCAGAUGUACUGGAUUACAGUCACCACCAUUCAGAGCAAACACAACUACCAUGUGUGCUGGUUGAUAAUAGCAGUUAUAGUCCACAUAGGUCUACAACAGUGGCUCUCAACUUCUGAAUCCCCAGGUGUUUUGGCCUACAACUCCCAGAAAUCCCAGCCAGUUAGCCAGCUGUUAGUAUUUCUGGAAGUUGAAAGCCAGAACAUCUGGAGACCCACAAGUUGAGAACCACUGGUCUACAAGAUGAUGAGUUGAUGGAGUCAGGGCUUGAAGACUUUUUUUCAGAAAAGCCAUGGCUUGAGUCUAAUAGAUCAGGGCUCAAGCUGUUAACAGGGGGAGACAACCCCUUCUCCAAGAUACUACUAUUUUUGGAAUGACAAGUGGUGGGAGACAGAACUAUAGUUUCCCUUCCUCUUUCUAUUUUUCAGUAACACUGAAAGGGGAUUUGGAUCCUGUAGUGUCACAGUCUUGACCAAUUCGCGCCUCACCUAUGAGUGGUUUUAGGCUCCUUUCCUGUUUCACAUCUAGAUGAUUUUUUUAAAUUGUAAAAGUUCAGGUUCCCACACUCAUACAACCUUCUGUCUUUUCAUAUAGAAUAAUUCUUCUUCACUCCAUUUCCCAUUGAGCUGGAUUAAUCUGGAAACUGAGUACUGCAAAGGAUGCAACUCUACUGGACAUGUUGACUGGGGAUUCUAGGAGUUGCAGUCUAAAAUGCCUUGUGGUCCAUUUGUUGAACCAUAACUUUCAUCAGCUCUAACCAACAGAGGCAAUGGUGAGGAGUAAGGAAAAUUGCAAUCCAGGAAGAACAUCUGGGAGUUCACAAACUCUGUAUUUUUGCUACCCUGUUUCCCCAAAAUAAGACAGGGUCUUAUAUUAAUUUUUGCUCCGAAAGAUGUGUUAGGGCUUGUUUUCAGGGGCAGUCUUAUUUUUCCAAAUUGAUUUUUAAAUGAACUAUAAGGUAAAGGUUUCCCCUGACGUUAAGUCCAGUCGUGACCGACUCUGGGGGUUGGUGAUCAUCUCCAUUUCUAAGCCGAAGAGCCAGUGUUGUCCAUAGAUACCUCGAAGGUCAUGUGGCCGGCAUGACUGCAUGGAGUGCCGUUACCUUCCUGCUGGAGCGGUACCUAUUGAUCUACUCACAUUUGCAUGUUUUUGAACUUCUAGGUUGGCAGGAGCUGGGGCUAACAGAGGGUGCUUAUUCCACUCCUGGGAUUUGAACCUGGGACCUUUUGGACUAUAUCAAGGGCUUAUUUUUUAAAUAGGACUUAUAUUUUGAGCAUCUUAAAAAAUGCUGAAAAAUCAUGAUAGAUCUUAUUUUCAGGGUAGGACUUAUUUUGGGGAAAACAGGGUAAUAGAAGCUUCAGGGUGAAGGACCAUGUAACUGGAACUCUGUUCAGCACUAACUGCUGGAAAAAGAAUAAACCCACUUCCCUCUCCAACUAUUCAGCAUUCCUUCCGACUUACACUGUUAUUUGAAGCUCUGUGGCAACAACUAAAGCUUUCUGAGAAGAUGGAGCCAGCAUGUUUCCUGCUACCCCAGAGAGUAGAACACAAACCAAUGGCUUCCAGUAACAAGAAAAGAGAGUCCAAUAUAAACAUUAAUAAUUCUGUUGUAGUGUUAGUGCUGUAACAGAGUAGAUUGCCUUGGAGGGCGAUGGGAUCUCCAACUUUGAAAGCCUUUAAACAGAAGUUGAAUUGGUAUCUUUCAGGAGCGUUUCAGCUGUAUAUUUCUGUGUUGGACCCAAUGGCCCCUGUGGCCUCUUCCAACUGGUGUUGAUAGUCAAGUAUUGCAUGGCAAAUAAAACAGAAUCAGGUUUUGUUCAUUCAUUUUUGUUUUAUAAAGAUGGAAACAAGGUGGAAGAAGAGCACAGAAUGCGGAACAAUUUUGCCCAUGUGCGGUUUUUCCUUUCAUACAUAUAUCAUCCCAGGUUCUUUUCCACCCACCAAGGAAAAGAUAAGAUCUUGUUGCUGCUCCCUUUUUCUUUUUCUUUUUUCCUGAGUAGGAAAGCUGCUGGGUGGGGAAUACAACUAGGCAGAACUGGAGUAAAACCAUCACUAUGAACUGAGGAAGCAUUUUGAAUGCACUUUGAAUAAAGGUCCAGUGGGAAAGGCUGCAUCUUUAUUUUAUGAUGAUAACACUGUGUUUUAAGAAUGUAUGAAGAGCUCUACCGGUUCAGACAAAGGCCUUUCUAGCCCAAGAUGCUCUCCUUACUGCACUCAACUAGUUGCCUGGGAGAAGCCCACAAAAAGCGAGUGUCUAGGAAUUCAGCCCUCGAGCCUCUGUUAACCAUUCUCCAGGGAGUGUGCACUUCCCAUUCAAAUCCACAAACAUUUUACUUCUCUUUUUGGUAAACCAGUCUUUCUUGAUGAUUACGUUUGUGUACCUUCGAGUUAUGUCCAGUUUAUGGUGACCCUAAGGCAAAUCUACCAUGACUCAGAGCCUUUCUCAGAGACUGAGAGAUCAUGACUUGCCUAAGGCCAGCUAGUGGGUUUCCAUGGCCAAGUGGGCAUUUGAACUCUGGUCCCAUUCAAACAUUCCAACUAUUAUACCAGGCUGGAUCUCAUCUUUCCUGAUUGGUAUCUAGUUUUUAAAUAAGAAUGAAUGGAUGUGAAUUAAUCAAGAGGUUCAUUGCUAUCUCUUGUGAUUGAAGAACAACAAAGCCUUGCUACUCAACACAGAUAGAUAUGAACUCAUCUAUAUAAACUACCCAGUUUUGAUUGUUAAUGAUUACUGUACUAUUUAAUUAAUGGUCUCUUUUUGCUUUGGCAUUUUGGCUGCCUUGGACCAAUUUAGUUAUAUUAUUUAUUUAUUUAUCAUAUCAGAAGCAAACCGAGGGUAAAGUUGUAAUGUAUAUUAAAAGCACAGAGUUAAAAACCUGGCGUUAUAUUAAAUGACCUAUUUGUUUGUUUGUUUGUUUGUUUGUCAUAUCAGAAGCAAACUGAGGGUAAAGUUGUAAUGUAUAUUAAAAACACAAGUUAACCUGGCAUUGUAUUAAAUGACCUUUGACCAGUAGCUAGCCACUUGGAGUGCCUCAGGUGUUGCUAUAAGAAGGUCCUCCAUUGUGCAUGGGGCAGGGCUCAGACUACAUUGUAGUAGGUGGUCUGUGGCUUGGUCAUCUCCAUAUUUACAUGUCGUGGACUCCACUUUGUGGCCCCAUUUCUUGAUGUUAGUUCUGCAUCUUGUGGUCCUAGAGCACAGUCAGUUCAAUGCCUUCCAAGUUGCCCAGUCUUCUGUGUGCCCAGGAGGGAGUCUCUCAUUCGGUAUCAGCCAUGGCUUGAGAUUCUGAGUUUUAGCCUCAAUUUAGUUAUAAAUCAGCAUGAACAAAAGUUAAUACAAAGCUGCAAUGGGGAAAAGGCAAGUCAGUGGGCAAGUGGCCUCAAGAUUGUUAUUGCAGGCUUCCAACACUCCUGGUGAUUCUCAACCCCAAAACUAUGGAUGGUGAAAUUGUUUCAGUUUUGUCCCCAAAUGGUCAUUUCAUUCCCCUCGUUUUUAAAAUCCAGAUAAUCCAUCCCCCCAAAAAGUCACUUAAUUUCUGGGGUAAAUUCUUCUUGGCCUGAAAAAGUUAAAGGGGAUCCAAAACAUUCCCAUACACAGCAGAAUGGCUAGUAGCUCCUUAUCACGCUAAAGUUUUGGGAAGUGAACAAAAAUGACUUCUUAGAUUUAGGAGUGUUGACUCAAUAUAACUUAGACACAGGAUGUCUUCAGUUCUGAUGGGAAGGUAUGGAGGUGAGGAAGACACUGUGAUUGGGUCUUGCUCAUAAAAUUUGCAUAUUAAGAAUGUCUCAGCUCACUUCCUUUUAUUCACGUCACUGCCAUGAGAUAUGUAUCAUUAAUGGUAAUAAAUACCCUUAGAUAUGCAACUCACAAUGAUGUUAUCAACUGAUUCUCUUUGGUUGUAAACAGAACCUCACAUAUUACUUUGGGAUGGGGCUUUUAAAAGAAUUAUUUGAAAUGAUGCUAUCAGGAAAGAACAGGCAGACUCUUUUUAAUACCCAGAAGAGACAAAUGAUUUAACAAUGAAGCUUACUCCAAGAUAGCCAAAAGAACACAUUACACCUCUUUUCUGCAAAAGUGAAAAUUUUCUCUCUCCCCUAAUAGUGGAAACAUUGUUAAAACAUAUCUCCAUUACUUACUGUUUUAUAUACUUACUUGUACAGCCUACAUGCAGUAAGUGUGUUGAAAUUGUGAGAUAUUAUAGCUCAGUGGUAUACCAUAUACUUUUGGAUACAGAAUAUCUCAGGUUUCACUUCUAGAAUCUCCUGGUAAGUCUAGGAAAGACUACUAGCUGAAACUAGAAUAGCUGCCAGUUAGUGUGAACAAACUUGAAUAAGCCUACGCAGUCAGCCCUCUGUGCCCAUGGAUUCUUUAUUAAUGAAUUCUCAUUGCUUAAAAAUAUUUGUUUAAAAUCUAAAAACCAAACUUUGAUUUUGCCAUUCUAUAUGCCCCCAAUGGUGCAGCAGGUCAAACUGAUGAGCUGUUGAACUUGCUGACUGAAAGUAGAUGGUUUGAAUCCGGGUGAGCUCCUGUUGUUAGCCCCAGCUUCUGCCAACCUAGCAGUUCAAAAACAUGCAAAUAUGAUCAAUGACUCUGGCAUGCUCCCUAUAAAGAAAUAUGGGGCAAGGGGGAAAUCUUUUAAUAAUAUCCCACCACUGCCACCAAUAUAACGGAAAUGAUGGCGGGGGGAAUCUUUUAUAUAAUAAUAUACCCCACCUCCGCCACCAAUAUAAUGGAAAUGAGCAAGUGGGAGGCUAGGCUGAGAGACUAAUUAUAACAGAUUUUCUUUUAAAACUGGUAGCUGCCACCAACCUAAAAUGUCUUUAGGAUUUUUGUUGUUAAAUGUGUUUGAGGCAAACUUCAUUCCAUUUUCUGCCACACCGUUUUCGCCCCAAACUCCCAAACUGAUGUUCACUAUGAGGCUUUUCUGUGGUAUUUUAUUGUUGUAUUGCUGGAACUUUUAUUAAGACUUCUUGAUGAAAAAUAUACACUGUGGAGGCUCUUGAAAGUUGAAAAAUAGAAUAAAAAUUUAUUUUCUUGAAAACAGGUAAAUGAUUACUUCAGAGAGGUUCAUAAGCGUAAUUGGUUAAGACGUUCUUCAGCUUAACUGAAUUGUAUGUUUCAGAUUUACUUCACUUAGUUUCAAACAGUUCCAACCAACCAAUCUAUCUCUAUUGGUCACAAAAACCCUCGCUCUAUUUGCUGAGAAUAGACACGAGUUCCCCUGGGUUGUUAAUUAACUCUAACCUAGAGUCCUUCUAUUAACCAGCCCAAUAGUGAGAGUCAAGAGAUCCAAGCUGCCUGACUUAACCUGUCAGUUUCCACAGCUUUCAGUCCUCUCUCUCACACACAAACUCUGCCAACUCCAAAACCAAACUGCUCUCUUCAAACCCUCAGACAGAACUCUUCUACUUCUUCAAACCUCAAACCAGAACUGCCUGGAGCUCUUUUUUUUCUGCACUCUAAGACUUGGCUCCUCCCAUCUGCUCUGGUUAGCCAAUCCUAAGAAUCUCUCUCUAAGCUCCUCCCCCUUUCUAACCACACUCAAGAUAGCUGCCUGGCCUUCCUCAACAAAAUGGAAGCUGCCUUACUCACUGCCACCAAGGCUUCAUUCUAGGCCUAAUAGGUAAGGUUCAUUACACUCCCCAUGCUCCCCAUUAAGUUUAGGCCUAACAUUUAAUUCUUUGGGAGAUACUAAAUAGCCAGAAAAUUUAAAUAUCCCAAAAUGUCACCUUGCUUUUAGUUGGGCCAGAUUUAAUGCACUGAAAUCAGCCAUACUAGAGGAUAGAUAAAAAGGCACUGAAUACGAGCACAAAACAUGCCCUUGCGGGGAGGGUAAAGUCGAAACUGUAAUACAUGUACUUUUUAUUUGUACAAUUUACAAGGAUGAAAGACUAAGGUUAAUAUCCCUUCUACUCACCAAAUGGCCAGGAAGAACCCUAAAUUGGUACUGCAGUUAUUUCCUGUCUGAUCUUGACAGAAAGGUAACGGAGCAGGUGCCAAAUUUCCCUUUGCAGCAGCAAAAAGCUGCAAGUGCUUCAUGAAAAAUCUGUAAGUGUUGAGAGUGUAACAAAGAGUACCUAGGAGUAAUCAGUUCUUGUUUUAGAUUAUAAAGAUAGUCCUUUAACCAAUAGCGAAUGGAGAUACUUGUUAUCAUUAACUAUAAACCAAAUGCAAUGUCACAAAUAAUUUAAAUGCUGUAUUCCAUCAUUGUACUCUCACUUGACUUUAGCCAAUGGUUUGUUGAUUGAAAUAAAGGCUACUGACUGACUGGCAAAUGUGAGUAGAUCAAUAGGUACUGCUUUGGCAGGAAAGUAAUGGUAAUGUUGCUGGCAACAUGAUAUUGGAGGCAGCUACAGACAACACCGGCUCUUCAGCUUAGAAGUGGAGAUGAGGACCCACCCCCACCCCCCCUUGACUUAAUGUCAAGGGGAAACCUUUACCUUUAGCACCCCUCACACAGAGAAGUAGUUCCUGUCUCUAUAUUGGCAAGCUAAAUGUCUGAGAGAGGUUCAGAUGCCAAGCCAAGUACAAAUGCAUCCAUCAUAAUGGUUUCCCUUUAUGGUAUCUCAUCUUUAUACCAGGGAUAUCAAUGCCUCUAAAAUGGGAUGCUCUUUUCUUUCUCGGCUGCAAGGGCUAGUGCCUCCCAGUAGACCCAAACUCUGUUUUCAAAAACCCAGUCCUUUUAGAAACUCCUUGUGUUAAUGGCUAUCACAGAAGCCUAUUAAAAUUUCAUGACAUAAGUUAAUUAGGCAUUGUACACAAUCUGAACUCUCUUUUUUUCUGCAUGAGAGAAGCUGAACUCUUGAAGCUUUCUGAUCAAAUAUAAAUGCUGUAGGGAGAAAUCAUCUAGCUUGAAUUCACAGGGCGAGAGUGAAACAGGAUUAAUUUUUAAAUUAGACUUUUUACAUGUGUGACAUGUAAUAAAUUAACUAGCAUGGUUCAUGUUGUCUUAGAAAAACCCCUUCCAAACUGAGGUUGGGUAACUUGUGUCCUCCAGAUGUUGUUGUUGAACUACACUUAUUCUCAUCCCUAGAGAUUGGAAGCAAUCCAUCACUUUAUUUAUAUCUCAUCUUUUCCCCAAGGCUAGGACUCAGGAUGGCUUACAGAAUAGAAAGAGAUACAAGAAAAACCAUGUCUAGCUGAGAACAUGCACAAAGGUAGAAUUAAAGUCUCAUGCAGCAUACAUUUAAAAGCAUUCAUUAAAACACUACAGCAUUAAAACAGAAAAUCCUUUAUAUAGAACCCCCAGUUCCCAAAUGUCUGCUGGAAUAGAAACAUAUUUAGACGAGGGUGAGAGGACAGCUAAGAUAAAGCCAGCCUAGUUAAAUCCUGGGCCAAGUAAACUUCUGGCUCAUGUAUUUUAGGCUCUGUACUCUACUCUCUGCCAGUACCUGACAGCUCAGAUAACAUAAUCUGUACCAUUUUGGAAUUUAAAAUGGAUUAUUAUCUAUCCAACUGGCAUGCACAGCUCUGUCAAGUUUCGAAGCUUAUCAAAUCCCGCACUACAUCUGUGAAAUAGUCUUCUUUUGGUCCUUUAACUGGAAGAGAAUUUCACCUAUUUGUAAAAGGUGCUGAAGACUUUUCUUUUUGAUUUGCCGGACAAUGCAGCUCAGUUGUCCCUGAUGUUGUUGGAAUAGAAAGUGGCUGGUGUAAUGUUGUGGUAUCUAUAAAGUACAACUUCCAUAUCCAUGAGGGAAUAUGGCACACACAUACAGCCUUUUUGGCAUACAACAACAAAAUUGACAUACAACAGUGGUAUAUACAGUACAACAAAAGGAAAUCACAUAAAAGUUAUUAAUCUCAAUGACAAAAUUUGCAACAGUCUCACAAAAGAAUGCAUCAGAGUUGUUCAAAAUAUAUGGAAUUUUAUAACACCUUUGUCAUUGAGAACACUGUGAAAAAUGGAAUUCCUAUAUUUGAUCUGUGUAUUAUCAUAUUUGGGCAAACAAACAAAGAAUUGUGAAGUGUUUCAACAGAGACCAAGUCUCAAGAACAGACCAUUUUGGAAUAUUCCACUUUUUUAUAUCUUCCAUCCAAAAGAGCUGAUGGCAACAUAGUGUGGAUACACAAAAAUGUGAAUAAUAGCAAACCUUAUUGAAAGAAAGGAAUUUCAGUCAAGUAUACAACAGAGUCACACUGGUGGAUCUAGAUAAUGCAUAGAGAAGACAUAUUUUGUCAGACAUGGAUCAAUGGAACCAUGGAUCUUGUGAAUACAAGGGUUUUAUUGUA